rnacentral:rRNA from 1 species
UACGUAGGGUGCAAGCGUUGUCCGGAAUUAUUGGGCGUAAAGAGCUCGUAGGCGGUCUGUCGCGUCUGCUGUGAAAACUCGGGGCUUAACCCCGGGCCUGCAGUGGGUACGGGCAGACUAGAGUGUGGUAGGGGGAGACUGGAAUUCCUGGUGUAGCGGUGAAAUGCGCAGAUAUCAGGAGGAACACCGAUGGCGAAGGCAGGUCUCUGGGCCACUACUGACGCUGAGAAGCGAAAGCAUGGGGGAGCGAACAGG